rnacentral:piRNA from 1 species
UGAAAUUGAAGCGGUGCUUCUGUUGGCUCUC